UACGUUCUCCCGCGUUAUGGUUCUUCCGUCCUCGGGCGGAAGCUAAGAGGGAAUCCGGUGCGAUACCGGAGCUGUCCCGCAACUGUGAGCGGUGAGCCGUUCGUCCAAGAUGUCACUGGCAGAAAUGCCGGGAAGACGGACGAUACAGGCUUUGACCCGCGAGCCAGGAGACCUGCCUGACAAGAUAAAAUUCC
rnacentral:ncRNA from 2 species